UGAAUACGAGAUGCUACGGCGUCGAAGCAGUCUAUGUCAUACUUCCAAGAAAAGCUUGCACUGUCAUAAACAAAUAAUGCCUGUACCAUAACCGACACAGGUGGGUAGGUAGAGUAUACUAAGGGGCGCGAGAUAACUCUCUCUAAGGAACUCGGCAAAAUGACUCCGUAACUUCGGGAGAAGGAGUGCCUUAUUUAUAAGGUUGCAAUAACAAGAUCCAAGCAACUGUUUACCAAAAACACAGGUCUCCGCUAAGUCGUAAGACGAUGUAUGGGGGCUGACGCCUGCCCAGUGCCAGAAGGUUAAAGAAGUUGGUUAGCAUCCGCGAAGCUGAUAACUGAAGCCCUGGUGAACGGCGGCCGUAACGAUAACGGUCCUAAGGUAGCGAAAUUCCUUGUCGGGUAAGUUCCGACCCGCACGAAAGGCGUAAUGAUUUGGAUACUGUCUCGGAGAGGGGCUCGGUGAAAUAGACUUGUCUGUGAAGAUGCGGACUACCUGCACCAGGACAGAAAGACCCUAUGAAGCUUUACUGUAACCUGAAAUUGAAAUUGGACUUUACUUGCGCAGUAUAGGUGGGAGGCGUUGAGAAUAUUCUUGCGGGAUUGUUGGAGCCAUCAGUGAGAUACCACUCUUGUAAUGUUAGAUUUCUAACUUUGUAUCAUUAUCUGGUCAAAGAACAGUUUCAGGCGGGCAGUUUGACUGGGGCGGUCGCCUCCUAAACGGUAACGGAGGCGCACAAAGGUUUCCUCUGAACGGGUAGAAAUCGUAUCUAGAGUGUAAAGGCAUAAGGAAGCUUGACUGUGAGACCUACAAGUCGAGCAGGGACGAAAGUCGGUCUUAGUGAUCUGACGGUGCUGAGUGGAAAGGCCGUCACUCAACGGAUAAAAGUUACUCUAAGGAUAACAGGCUGAUCUCCCCCAAGAGUUCACAUCGACGGGGAGGUUUGGCACCUCGAUGUCGGCUCAUCGCAUCCUGGGGCGGUAGUACGUCCCAAGGGUUGGGCUGUUCGCCCAUGAAAGCGGUACGCGAGCUAGGUUCAGAACGUCGUGAGACAGUUCGGUCCAUAUCCGGUGUAGGCGUUAGAAUAUUGAGAGGAGCCUUCUUUAGUACGAGAGGACCGAGAAGGACAUACCUCUGGUGUACCAGUUAUCGUGCCAACGGUAAACGCUGGGUAGCUAUGUGUGGAGUGGAUAACCGCUGAAAGCAUCUAAGUGGGAAGCCCACCUCAAGAUAAG
rnacentral:rRNA from 1 species